rnacentral:tRNA from 1 species
UCUCCAGUGGCGCAGUUGGUUAGCGCAUGGUACUUAUAUGUCAGUAAUCUGAAUGCGCGGAGGAAUUGUAUGAUUCCUUAAGAAAUGCCGAGGUCGCGAGUUCGAGCCUCGCCUGGAGAA